rnacentral:rRNA from 1 species
UACAGAAGGUGCGAGCGUUAAUCGGAAUUACUGGGCGUAAAGGGUGCGUAGGUGGUUUUGUAAGUUAGGUGUGAAAGUCCCGGGCUUAACCUGGGGAUUGCGCCUAAUACUGCAAAGCUAGAGUACUGUAGAGGAAAGUGGUAUUUCCAGUGUAGCGGUGAAAUGCGUAGAUAUUGGAAGGAACAUCAGUGGCGAAGGCGACUUUCUGGACAGAUACUGACACUGAGGCACGAAAGCGUGGGGAGCAAACAGG